rnacentral:rRNA from 1 species
AUUGAACUUUGGAGGCAUGCCUUACACAUGCAAGUCGAACGGCAGCACGGAGCUUGCUCUGGUGGCGAGUGGCGAACGGGUGAGUAAUAUAUCGGAACGUACCCUGGAGUGGGGGAUAACGUAGCGAAAGUUACGCUAAUACCGCAUACGAUCUAAGGAUGAAAGUGGGGGAUCGCAAGACCUCAUGCUCGUGGAGCGGCCGAUAUCUGAUUAGCUAGUUGGUAGGGUAAAAGCCUACCAAGGCAUCGAUCAGUAGCUGGUCUGAGAGGACGACCAGCCACACUGGAACUGAGACACGGUCCAGACUCCUACGGGAGGCAGCAGUGGGGAAUUUUGGACAAUGGGCGAAAGCCUGAUCCAGCAAUGCCGCGUGAGUGAAGAAGGCCUUCGGGUUGUAAAGCUCUUUUGUCAGGGAAGAAACGGUGAGAGCUAAUAUCUCUUGCUAAUGACGGUACCUGAAGAAUAAGCACCGGCUAACUACGUGCCAGCAGCCGCGGUAAUACGUAGGGUGCAAGCGUUAAUCGGAAUUACUGGGCGUAAAGCGUGCGCAGGCGGUUUUGUAAGUCUGAUGUGAAAUCCCCGGGCUCAACCUGGGAAUUGCAUUGGAGACUGCAAGGCUAGAAUCUGGCAGAGGGGGGUAGAAUUCCACGUGUAAGCAGUGAAAUGCGUAGAUAUGUGGAGGAACACCGAUGGCGAAGGCAGCCCCCUGGGUCAAGAUUGACGCUCAUGCACGAAAGCGUGGGGAGCAAACAGGAUUAGAUACCCUGGUAGUCCACGCCCUAAACGAUGUCUACUAGUUGUCGGGUCUUAAUUGACUUGGUAACGCAGCUAGCGCGUGAAGUAGACCGCCUGGGGAGUACGGUCGCAAGAUUAAAACUCAAAGGAAUUGACGGGGACCCGCACAAGCGGUGGAUGAUGUGGAUUAAUUCGAUGCAACGCGAAAAACCUUACCUACCCUUGACAUGGCUGGAAUCCUCGAGAGAUUGAGGAGUGCUCGAAAGAGAACCAGUACACAGGUGCUGCAUGGCUGUCGUCAGCUCGUGUCGUGAGAUGUUGGGUUAAGUCCCGCAACGAGCGCAACCCUUGUCAUUAGUUGCUACGAAAGGGCACUCUAAUGAGACUGCCGGUGACAAACCGGAGGAAGGUGGGGAUGACGUCAAGUCCUCAUGGCCCUUAUGGGUAGGGCUUCACACGUCAUACAAUGGUACAUACAGAGCGCCGCCAACCCGCGAGGGGGAGCUAAUCGCAGAAAGUGUAUCGUAGUCCGGAUUGUAGUCUGCAACUCGACUGCAUGAAGUUGGAAUCGCUAGUAAUCGCGGAUCAGCAUGUCGCGGUGAAUACGUUCCCGGGUCU